rnacentral:rRNA from 1 species
GACGAACGCUGGCGGCGUGCUUAACACAUGCAAGUCGAACGGAAAGGCCCUGCUUUUGUGGGGUGCUCGAGUGGCGAACGGGUGAGUAACACGUGAGUAACCUGCCCUUGACUUUGGGAUAACUUCAGGCAACUGGGGCUAAUACCGGCUAGGAGCUCCUGCUGCUUGGUGGGGGUUGGAAAGUUUCGGCGGUUGGGGAUGGACUCGCGGCUUAUCAGCUUGUUGGUUGGGUAGUGGCUUACCAAGGCCUUGACGGGUAGCCGGCCUGGGAGGGGGACCGGCCACAUUGGGACUGAGAUACGGCCCAGACGCGUACGGGAGGCAGCGGUGGAGAAUAUUGCACAAUGGGCGGAAGCCUGAUGCAGCAACGCCGCGUGCGGGAUGACGGCCAUCGGGUUGUAAAGCGCUUUCGCCUGUGACGAAGCGUGAGUGACGGUAAUGGGUGAAGAAGCACCGGCUAACUACGUG